UUUGUACUCCCUCCGUCCCAAAAUUCUUGUCUUAAAUUUGUCUAAAUACGGAUGUAUCUAGUUACAUUUUAGUGUUAGAUACAUUUGUAUCUAAACAAAUGUAAGACAAGAAUUUUGGGACGGAGGGAAUACUAC
rnacentral:pre_miRNA from 1 species